UACGGGGGGAGCAAGCGUUGUUCGGAUUUACUGGGCGUAAAGGGCGCGUAGGCGGCAGUCGACAAGUCACUUGUGAAAUCUCCGGGCUUAACUCGGAACUGCCAAGUGAUACUGUCGUGCUAGAGUGCAGAAGGGGCAAUCGGAAUUCUUGGUGUAGCGGUGAAAUGCGUAGAUAUCAAGAGGAACACCAGAGGCGAAGGCGGAUUGCUGGGCUGACACUGACGCUGAGGCGCGAAAGCUAGGGUAGCAAACGGG
rnacentral:rRNA from 1 species